AAACUGCUGGUAAACUGUGUACAGACGUUUUACGUUCGAAUUGCAGAGAAAAAAAAAUUCUGGUAGCAACAUUGUGCAGUAUGAGCGAACCAUUUCACCAAAAAAAGGGGAAGCAAGGCAAGACGUGGCUGCAGCGGUCUGCAGACGUGACUUCUGAUCAAAUUCGAACCUCCUCCUAAAGAAACAAAGAGCGACAUUACAUUGCGGGAUGACGUCACCUGAAAAUGACCAAUAGCGCGGCGCGCUGCUGAGCUGUGUGCCAACCGCUCUUUUUUUCAUGCAGGAGACUCAAGUUGGCUUCGCUAACGGACACAGUUUUGAACUCGUAUAUUAGCGCCAUUUAUUGCUGCUUGGACCACAGCAUCUUCGGAAUUUGUAGACAUCCUGGCAGCUUACAAUUAGUUCGAGGGUGCUGACCCAAAUCUGUGUGGACCAGAACGUACCAAAGAGAACUACAACUCUGCUGUUGAUCGCCUCCAGAUUGACAAUACACCAGACGUCGAAGGAGUGAAGUUCAGACACUGAAUUUGAGCAGAAACCAUAAGGAUACUCAAAGGACCUGUGACUCUCAGGAAAUGCAUCAAAUGAGAGGGACAGAUGAAACAGUUUCAAGACAAUGGCAGGAAAAACAUGCUGAAGAUUGAAACAAACCUUGGCUGGAAAUAUUUGAAGGUAUCUAGCCAGUCCACAAUGAAAGCUUCGUUGCACCCCAUGAGUCUUCUGGCAGAAAUGAUGGCGCCUGUAUUCUUUGGUUUCCUAAACAUCACACCCUGCCUGUUUAUACGAGGCUCUUCAAUUAAGUCUGCACCCAAAGAUUCAAUAAGAGGUAAGCAGUGGUAUUAUUCAAGUUUUGCUAAAGAAAGAUGGACAGGAGACACUAAUCUUAAUCAGCCGAGCUCAGGUUCAUGUCCAGGUGAGCAGUUUCAUAUGCUAUAAAAUGUAGAUUGAAUGAUAGGUCUCAUCACCAUGCAUUCAGCCAUUAACUUCAAGUUCUAUGAUAAAUCAAUAGAAAACUUAAAUACGUUUUCCAACAAAUUAUGAUUGUGAUUAGGGCUGCGUUGUCUAUGUAUCACUUUUACAUAAGUAGAUUUAAAGGAUAACUAUUGCCAAAACGCA